rnacentral:rRNA from 1 species
ACGAACGCUGGCGGCGUGCCUAAUACAUGCAAGUUGAGCGCUGAAGGUUGGUACUUGUACCAACUGGAUGAGCAGCGAACGGGUGAGUAACGCGUGGGGAAUCUGCCUUUGAGCGGGGGACAACAUUUGGAAACGAAUGCUAAUACCGCAUAAAAACUUUAAACACAAGUUUUAAGUUUGAAAGAUGCAAUUGCAUCACUCAAAGAUGAUCCCGCGUUGUAUUAGCUAGUUGGUGAGGUAAAGGCUCACCAAGGCGAUGAUACAUAGCCGACCUGAGAGGGUGGUCGGCCACAUUGGGACUGAGACACGGCCCAAACUCCUACGGGAGGCAGCAGUAGGGAAUCUUCGGCAAUAGACGAAAGUCUGACCGAGCAACGCCGCGUGAGUGAAGAAGGUUUUCGGAUCGUAAAACUCUGUUGGUAGAGAAGAACGUUGGUGAGAGUGGAAAGCUCAUCAAGUGACGGUAACUACCCAGAAAGGGACGGCUAACUACGUG